AGGGCUAUAGCUCAGUUGGUAGAGCACCUCGUUUACACGAGUCCGUAUAGCCCUA
rnacentral:tRNA from 1 species